rnacentral:lncRNA from 1 species
GUCCCCUUUCUGGCCUCGGUUUCCCUGUCUGUAAAUUGGGGAUAAUAAGCUCAAGAGCUGUCCCUGCCAGAACCCAGUGGACAGAAAUCCAGCAGCUGCUAUGGGAAGCGACCCGCCCAGCCUGCCCCGCCCUGCCUGGGGAAGCAGGCCUUCUGCUUGAGGGGGACUGGGCGCAUGCUGGGCCUCUGGUCUGCGCAGUCUGCCCGGGGUCUGUGAGUGCUUGUGAGUGGGCUUCUCCAGUCUCCAGAUUCUCGUUGAAAUCCUAACGCCCCAGGCAAUGAUGUUAGGAGGCGGGGCUUCUGGGAGAUGGCAAGUUCGUGAGGCUGCAGCUCUGCUGGGGGAUCAGUGUCCUUCUACAAGCGGCUCCAGGGAGGUCCCUUGCCCCUUCCACCAUGUGAGGACCCGAGAUGGUGCCGUCUAUGAACCGGGAAGUGAGUCCUCUCCGGACGUGGAACAAGUUGGUGCCUUGAUUUUGAACUUGCAGCCUCCAGGUAUGAAUGUGAGCUCUGGGCUCACUGCCUGUGGGGAGCCCUGCCUCACAAGGAGGGGUCCCUCUGCAUCUGCCAUGCAUGGCUGUUUCAAUCAAAGCUGCUGUCUAACACCACCGGCUCGACCUUGAGUUCCUCCCUGAGCAAAGCCAAGCGACCUCCUGGACUGAGCCAGUUUUCGUGCCUGCCUGCCCUGGCUCAUUGGCCAGGGACCCCACCCCGCCAUGUCCAGGCCUUGGUGAUACAGGACAGAGGUGCCCGUGCAGGUUGUGCCUGUGGCUGGGUCCCCAGGGAGAAGGUGGCAACCCCAGGCCAGCAGCCUCCUACCCUGAACUCCAGGCAACAUCGUCGGCCCCCUGGCACUGCACCUGCACUGUGGGCAGAGAAGGAGGGAAGGCUGGGAGAGGAGGAGGAGGUCGAAUGUCGCUGGAGGUCGGCGUCCUUCUGCAGCCGUGGCUUCAUGGGGUUUAAGUACGAUGAUGCUGCAUUGAGACGUUGUACUGUGUGAAGUCAGGGCCUUCUGUGCAUCGGUCGAGGGUGCAAUGCACACGGCACCCCCGAGCAGCCACCCAUCCUCCCUUCCCUCCACCCUGCGAGGCCCCGUUGUCCGUCUGUCCACACUCUGCUCCAUGAGCACACGUGACUUAGCUUCGCCUUGUGAGCCGCUGCUUGGGGUGAGCAUGCUUCCUGCUGGAUGCUUCUCUAUGUAAGCACCUGCCUGAGUGUCAGCCCUCUUAAGGUGAACCGCUCCGUGUCAUUCGUACAUUCACAAGUUUGUGCCGCCAUCAUCGUGAUCGGAUUCCAAAACAUUUUCAUCACCUCCAAGAAAGCCUUGUACCUGGCAGCAGUCACUGUCUCUAUGGAUUUGCUUAUUCUGGACAUUUCAUAAAAAUAGAAUCAAACAGCAUUUGGC